CCUCUGACCACAAGGGGUAUCGGUGUAUGGACCUCGCCUCCCACCGCAUCAUCAUCUCUCGUCACGUCGUCUUCGACGAGGAUGUGUUUCCCCUUGCUGGCCCCUUCCCACCCACCGAUCACGACUCCCUCCUCGAGUCUGAUCCGGUCUCCCCCUCCUCCCAGGCGUCCCGCCUUGCGCCGUUACCCGCACCCCGUGCGGCCUCGACGCAGCGGCUUGCGCCUAUUCCCGCGCCACGCGCGGCCCCGUCGAUCAUGCCUACGCCACACGCGGCCCCGUCGACCACGCCUGCGCCUAUUCCCGCGCCACGCGCGGCCCCGUCGAUCACGCCUACGCCACGCGCGGCCCCGUCGACCACGCCUGCGCCUUGCGCGGCCCCACCGACCCCUCCCAUCCCAUGCGCGGCCCUGUCAACCACGCCUGCGCCUCGCGCUGCCCCGCCGACCCCUCCCGCACCAUGCGCGACCCCGUCGACGCCCACGGCUCGCUUCGCCGACCCCGCGCUCGUCUACCACCGUUGCCGCCACGUCACUACCUUGGCACCUACGGACCCGGGCCCGUCGAUGAGCCCAGUACGCUUCGCCGACCUCGUCGUCGUCUCUCACUGCCGCGAGUCGGCCACGCCCGUGGCCCCCGACGUCCCGGUAGACCGCCUCGAGCCACCGGUGUACCACCCGGUCGCCAUCUACCGCAACCCCGGGCACGUCCACCCGAUGGUCACCCGGCGCGCCGCUGGCAUUCUUCGUCCUAUCGACCGGCUGAUCUUGGCAGCUGAUACGACUACCACUCCACCAGACGCCUCCCUGGUCCCCUUCGUUCGCACCGCUCUCGCUGACCCACACUGGCGACGCGCUAUGGAGAAGGAGUACGCGACCCUCCUGGCCAACCACACCUGGGACCUAGUGCUGUGUCCACUAGGCACCAACGUGGUCACCGGCAAGUGGCUAUUUCGCCACAAGCUUACCUCGGACGGCUCCCUCGACCGCUACAAGGCCCGUUGGGUCCUUCGGGGCUUCACCCAACGCCCCGGAGUGGACUACGACGAGACCUUCAGCCCCGUCGUCAAGUUUGCCACUGUUCGCACCGUCCUCUCCCUUGCCCUCUCCCGGGACUGGGCGAUUCAUUAGCUCGACGUCAAGAAUGCCUUCCUCCACGACACUCUGACGGAGACUGUCUACUGCAGCCAGCCCACCGGCUUUGUCGACGAAGCUCGUCCGGAUCUAGUCUGCCGGCUAAACCGCUCUCUCUACGGCCUCAAGCAGGCCCCGCGAGCCUAGUACAGUCGCUUCGCUUCCUACUUAGCCUCCAUUGGCUUCGUCGAGGCCAAGUCGGACACAUCCCUCUUCAUCUACCGACGCGGUGACGACACCGUCUUCCUUCUGCUCUACGUCGACAACAUUGUGCUCACGGCAUCCACCACCGACCUUCUUCAGCGCACGAUCGUCGCCCUGCAGCGGGAGUUCGCGAUGAAGGACCUGGGGCCCCUCCACCACUUCCUCGGCAUCACCGUCGAGCGCCGGCCCUAGGGUCUCUUCCUCCAUCAGCGCCAGUACGCCAUCGACAUACUGGAGUGGGCUGGCAUGUUCGACUGCAAGCCUUGCUCCACGCCUGUCGACACUCAGGCGAAGCUCUUAGAGGACGACGAGCCCCCGAUCGCCGAUGCGACGUCCUACCGGAGCCUGACCGGCGCGCUCCAGUACCACACCUUCUCCAGGCCUGACAUCGCCUACGUCGUCCAGCAGGUGUGCCUGCAUAUGCACACCCCAUGGGAGCCUCAUCUCACCGCUCUCAAGCGGAUCCUGCGCUACCUCCGUGGCUCCCUCGACUACGGCCUCCUACUCCGACCAUCCCCGACGUCGGAACUCGUGGUCUACACCGACGCCGACUGGGCUGGCUGUCCAGACACGCGUCGAUCCACCUCUGGUUACGCCGUGUUCCUGGGCGCCAACCUCGUCUCCUAGGCCGCCAAGCGGCAGCCCGUCGUCUCUCGCUCCAGUGCUAAGGCCGAGUACCGCGCCGUGGCCAACGGCGUAGCAGAGGCCUCCUAGCUGCGACAGCUCCUCCACGAACUCCACAGUCCCCUCCAGCGCGCCACCCUCGUCUACUGCGACAAUGUCAGCGCAGUCUACCUCUCCACCAAUCCCGUGCAGCAUUAGCGCACGAAGCACGUGGAGAUCGACCUGCACUUCGUCCGCGAGCGUGUCACCGCCGGUGACGUUCUGGUUCUCAGCGUCCCCACCACGCUGCAGUUCGCUGACAUCUUCACCAAGGGGUUACCGUCGAGUGUAUUUUUAGACUUUCGCUCCAGUCUUAACAUCUGUACAGGAUAGAGUUGUUACUGCGGGGGUGUUAGAAUACCCGUUUAGGGUUUGGGGUUUUCCCCGUGUAUUCACUAUCUUACCCCUCUGUAAUGGGCCUGACCCAGUUUACUCAAGCCUAUUAAUACAACACCCCAGACCCAGUUAGGGUUAGGGUUUUCACUGUUCAACAUCAGGCACAUGGAUAGCUGUUUUUCAUGCACUUCUAUUGAAGGCUAAAUCUUUGGAUAUAUUCCAUCAUUUCAAGUCUUAUUUUACCGCCACUUCCCAUGUCAACUUCGGCCCUCCCCUAUCUCUCAUCCCAUUGCUAUGACGCCUUAGGAUCCCACUAUACACUGGUGUCUCAACUGGUGUUGGACAUAUCGAUAGCAUCUCAACCAAUGUUGGACAAAUUUUUCUUCAUUUGAUUGUAUCCCUAGCCUAUCAUGUAUAUCAUCAUUUCCUGAUUCCAUCACUUCUUGUAUGGCCACAAUCUAAUGCAACAUACACAUUUUCUCAACAUUUAUCUACUGAACAUGUCUUUUUAUAGGCUAACAUUCUACAAUAUACAACAUAGCAUGUCUAAUCACAGUCCUAUAAAUCUUGCUUUUAACUUAUGCGGUACUGUAUUGUCAUAUAGAAUGCUAGAUGUUUGAUGCCACUUCAUCCACCCUGCUUUGAUUCUAUGGCUAACAUCUUCAUCAAUAUUCUCGUCUCUCUAUAGCAUUGAUCCUAAAUAUCGAAAUGUAUCCUUCCUGGACACUACUUGACCAACCAAACUAACAUUUUCCUCAUGUGUAGUGAUACCGUAGUCACAUCUCAUAUAUUUGGUUUUAGUUCUAUUGAGUCUAUAACCUUUGUAUUCUAGAGUCUUCCGCCAUGACUCUAGUUUGCUAUUUUACUCUUGCUCUACUUUCAUCAACUAACACUACAUCGUUCGCAAAAAGCAUUUACCAAGAGAUAUCCCCUUGUGAUCUUAUCCAUCACCAAGGCAAAGAGGUAAUGACUCAAAGAUGACCUUUGAUGUAGUCUUAUUCUAAUUAGGAAGUCAUUUCUCAUUUGUGUCUCUGUUACUUGUUCGAACACUAGUCACAACAUCGUUGUACUGUCAUUAAUGAGUCGAAGGUAUUUUGUUGAAACACUAUGUUUGUUCGAAGCCCACCACACAAUGUUCCUUGAUAUUUUAUCAUAAGCCUUCUUCAAGUCAAUGAAAACCAUGUAUAGGUCCUUGUGCUCCCACUUGUCUUAUUAAGAAAAACAGCUUUUAUGGGUGACCUUCCAUGCAUGAAACCAAAUUGUUUCAUAGAGAUCCUCAUUAUUACUUUUAGUUGAUGCUUGACAAUUCUCUCUCAUAGCUUCAUAGUAUGGCUCGUUAAUUUAAUUCCUUAGUAAUUAGUACAACUUUGAAUAUCUCCCUUUUUUUAGAUUGGUAUCAAUAUGCUCUCCACUCGUCAGGUAUCUUGUUCGACCAGAAGAUAUUAUUGAACAACUUGCUUAGUCAUACUAUAGCUAUGUCCUCGAGGCAUCUCCAUGCCUUAAUUAGGUUAAGUGAAAUAUGAAACAUCGAUAAGGAAAAUAUGAAGCGCUAAUAUUAUAUUAAAUUCUAGAGCCUUGACAUGAUGUACUGAUCUGGAUGAUUUGCCUUAUAUAUUUUUGUUUCAUUUUGUAGCUGGUGCAAAAAUAUUCUCGGCUCGAACAAUUAAAGUUAAGGAAGAGGAGGAUAUUAGGACAUAUUACUUCUAUGAAUUCAGUCUGGACAAGCAACACGUAGCUCUGAUGGCUACCGUGAAUAGUGGGA